rnacentral:rRNA from 1 species
GAUGAACGCUGGCGGCGUGCCUAAUACAUGCAAGUCGAGCGAACAGACGAGGAGCUUGCUCCUCUGACGUUAGCGGCGGACGGGUGAGUAACACGUGGAUAACCUACCUAUAAGACUGGGAUAACUUCGGGAAACCGGAGCUAAUACCGGAUAAUAUAUUGAACCGCAUGGUUCAAUAGUGAAAGACGGUUUUGCUGUCACUUAUAGAUGGAUCCGCGCCGCAUUAGCUAGUUGGUAAGGUAACGGCUUACCAAGGCAACGAUGCGUAGCCGACCUGAGAGGGUGAUCGGCCACACUGGAACUGAGACACGGUCCAGACUCCUACGGGACGCAGCAGUAGGGAAUCUUGCGCAAUGGGCGAAAGCCUGACGGAGCAACGCCGCGUGAGUGAUGAAGGUCUUCGGAUCGUAAAACUCUGUUAUUAGGGAAGAACAAAUGUGUAAGUACCUAUGCACGUCUUGACGGUACCUAAGCAGAAAGCCACGGCUAACUACGUG